rnacentral:lncRNA from 1 species
GCAGUGCCCUGCUGAAGGAAAGUAGAUUGAAACCUUCAGAUCGCGGCGUUAUCUCAACUCCUUCGUUUCAGCCCUGAUAACGGGCGGUGAUAACGCCGUGCGACAGCUGACGGAAUCAGGACGUGCGCACGUGAUAAGAGCGUGGCUGGGAAAUAGAUCAGAUUUAUUGCACCCUGGGGUGGGGGGGGGGGGAGGAAGGGCAGGAGGUUGGGCCACGGUUGUGGCCGUGGUCAUGGUCACGGUCAAGGAUGUGGAGUUUCGUGGUCACAGAUGUGAAGAUUCGUGAUAAAAUCACGUAUGGAAGGUCAUGGUCAUGGUUAUGGGCAUGGAUGGAGAGCUGCAUGGUCAUGGUUAUGGUCAUGGAUGUAGAGCUGCAUGGUUGUGGUCAUGGUCAUGGAUGUAAAGCUGAUGGUCGUGGUUAUGGUUGUGGUCAUGGAUGUAGAGCUGAUGGUCAUGGUUAUGGGCAUGGAUGCAGAGCUGAUGGUCAUGGUUAUGGUUGUGGUCAUGGAUGCAGAGCUGAUGGUCGUGGUUAUGGUUGUGGUCAUGGAUGUAGAGCUGAUGGUGAUGGUCAUGGUCAUGGAUGCAGAGCUGAUGGUCGUGGUCAUGGUUGUAGUCAUGGAUGUAGAGCUGAUGGUCACGGUCACGGUCAUGGUCAUGGUCAUGGUUGUAGAGCUGAUGGUCAUGGUUAUGGUUAUGGGCAUGGAUGUAGAGCUGAUGGUCAUGGUCAUGGUUAUGGUUGUAGAGCUGCAUGGUCAUGGUUAUGGUUGUGGUCAUGGGUGCAGAGCUGCAUGGUUAUGGUUAUGGGCAUGGAUGUAAAACUGAUGGUUAUGGUCGUGGUUAUGGUUAUGGGCAUGGAUGCAGAGCUGAUGGUCAUGGUUAUGGUUGUGGUCAUGGAUGUAGAGCUGAUGGUCGUGGUUAUGGUUGUGGUCAUGGAUGCAGAGCUGCAUGGUCAUGGUUAUGGUCAUGGAUGUAAAGCUGAUGGUUGUGGUUAUGGUUGUGGUCAUGGAUGUAGAGCUGCGUGGUCACGGUCAUGGUCAUGGUUAUGGUCAUGGAUGUAGAGCUUCACUGGCUCCCUGGGCUGCAUGAAAAGAGGAGUGGGCAGCAGGGAGAGGGAGGUGGUGGUCCCCCUCUACUCGGCUCUUUUGAGGCCCCAUCUGCAGCACUGCGUCCAGGCCUGGGGCCCCCAGCACAAGAAAGACGCGAAGCUCUUGGAACGAGUUCAGAGGAGGGCGACCAAGAUGAUCAGAGGCUGGAGCACCUCUCCUAUGAGGAAAGGUUGAGGGAACUGGGCUUGUUUA